rnacentral:tRNA from 1 species
GGCCCCUUCGUCUAGUGGUUUAGGACAUAUGGUUCUCAGCCAUAAAACAGGGGUUCGACUCCCCUAGGGGCUACCA